UUCACAUUUAGAUACGAUAUUUAACAAAUAAUUAGUAUCACCAUUAUUAUCUUAUCGACUACAUUUCAAUUUUACAUUAUUUUCAAAUUCGUGUGGUUUGGAUAAGAGAGAUUUUACAGCAAAUCAAAGAUUGUGAAAGAGAACAGGAACAGUAAACUCCGACCUUGCCAACUGUUUGGGAUCCAUUAUGGAGAACACGGCCAACAUACAGAGGUUCUCCAUCGGAGGUCUGUCCUGCGAUCACCGCGUCGCCUGGGAUUGCUCCGUUGGAGGAGAACUCCCAUUCGAAUUCUCCUUUGCACAAAACCUACAGAAAAUAAAAAUCAAUCGUAAUCGAACGAUUAACUUCGAUGGAGUUACAGUUUGAUUUUUGUGCGACUCGAUUAUCUGAAUACUUUGACAGUAUUUUAUAUUUCUCCAUGGAUUGGAUGAUAAUAAGCUCCUUAGGCGAUUAUUCAAAAUAACUUCUUAUCUGGAAUGCAAAAUAUUUGAUGAAGAGUUUGAAUGAUCUGUUAUGAUUCAUGAGAUGUUUUGCCUUGCGCGGACAGACGAGUGAAAACGUAAGGUAGUAAGCCAUUUAAAUGAAAGAAAGAUGAUUACAUGAGAAAUGCAAGUAACGAAUUGUUAGUUUUAGCUUUUCAAGAUCCAAGGCAACCGCGUAAUUCGUAAUCGCACAAACUAGCUAAAGGAUGAUGCAGAUCGUAUAAACCGUAUUCCAAUCCCGUGCCGCAAAACGACUUCGCCUUGACACAAAAUCUCGAUUCCGUGUUUGUGUGUGUAAAGAGGUUGAUUAUAUGGUUACACCGGAUGAUUAGGUUCGUCAUUGGAAAAAUGUAUUAUUUAUUAAAAUCACUCGACCGAAUUUCAGUUUCCCGCUGUUUUUAAUUUCCUCCAAUCGCUGGCUCUCGGAAUAAAAAGUUAAGAUAGUUGAAGAUAACGGAAGAUAGAGGAGAAUGUAAAAGAAAUAAUUGUUAAUACGCCAUAUUAAUAUAUUUCUCAAUUGAAUUUCAUAUAAAGGAUUAUUUUACAAUAUCAAGAAUGUUUUUAAUUUCAUUGAAAAGUUUGGAGACUAUAGCAAGUUCCCUUGUUAACUUCAACUCAUUUUGUUAAUGUUUUCUAAAGAUGAUCACUCGAGAUAAAUUUAUUUUGCGGAAUUAAUUUUAGUUUUCGGUCUUCUAAAUUAUUAGUGAUUAAUGAAUGGUCGUCUAUAAAAGACUGAACGAUUUGAAUGUAAUGAUGCGUAGCGUUUUGCGUUU